UGCGUAGGUGGUUUCUUAAGUCAGAGGUGAAAGGCUACGGCUCAACUGUAGUAAGCCUUUGAAACUGGGAAACUUGAGUGCAGGAGAGGAGAGUGGAAUUCCUAGUGUAGCGGUGAAAUGCGUAGAUAUUAGGAGGAACACCAGUUGCGAAGGCGGCUCUCUGGACUGUAACUGACACUGAGGCACGAAAGCGUGGGGAGCAAACA
rnacentral:rRNA from 1 species